rnacentral:rRNA from 1 species
UCUGGAAAGUCGCGCGAUACAGGGUGACAGCCCCGUACACAAAAGCGCAUGUGUUGUGAGCUCGAUGAGUAGGGCGGGACACGUGGUAUCCUGUCUGAAUAUGGGGGGACCAUCCUCCAAGGCUAAAUACUCCUGACUGACCGAUAGUGAACCAGUACCGUGAGGGAAAGGCGAAAAGAACCCCGGCGAGGGGAGUGAAAAAGAACCUGAAACCGUGUACGUACAAGCAGUGGGAGCACAGGUUUACCUGUGUGACUGCGUACCUUUUGUAUAAUGGGUCAGCGACUUAUAUUCUGUAGCAAGGUUAACCGUAUAGGGGAGCCGGAGGGAAACCGAGUCUUAAUUGGGCGUUAAGUUGCAGGGUAUAGACCCGAAACCCGGUGAUCUAGCCAUGGGCAGGUUGAAGGUUGGGUAACACUAACUGGAGGACCGAACCGACUAAUGUUGAAAAAUUAGCGGAUGACCUGUGGCUGGGGGUGAAAGGCCAAUCAAACCGGGAGAUAGCUGGUUCUCCCCGAAAGCUAUUUAGGUAGCGCCUCGUGAAUUCAUCUCCGGGGGUAGAGCACUGUUUCGGCUAGGGGGCCAUCCCGGCUUACCAACCCGAUGCAAACUGCGAAUACCGGAGAAUGUUAUCACGGGAGACACACGGCGGGUGCUAACGUCCGUCGUGAAGAGGGAAACAACCCAGACCGCCAGCUAAGGUCCCAAAGUCAUGGUUAAGUGGGAAACGAUGUGGGAAGGCCCAGACAGCCAGGAUGUUGGCUUAGAAGCAGCCAUCAUUUAAAGAAAGCGUAAUAGCUCACUGGUCGAGUCGGCCUGCGCGGAAGAUGUAACGGGGCUAAACCAUGCACCGAAGCUGCGGCAGCGACACUGUGUGUUGUUGGGUAGGGGAGCGUUCUGUAAGCCUGUGAAGGUGUGUCGUGAGGCAUGCUGGAGGUAUCAGAAGUGCGAAUGCUGACAUAAGUAACGAUAAAGCGGGUGAAAAGCCCGCUCGCCGGAAGACCAAGGGUUCCUGUCCAACGUUAAUCGGGGCAGGGUGAGUCGACCCCUAAGGCGAGGCCGAAAGGCGUAGUCGAUGGGAAACGGGUUAAUAUUCCCGUACUUGGUGUUACUGCGAAGGGGGGACGGAGAAGGCUAUGUUGGCCGGGCGACGGUUGUCCCGGUUUAAGCGUGUAGGUGUGUGUUCCAGGUAAAUCCGGUUCACUUUAACACUGAGGCGUGACGACGAGGCACUACGGUGCUGAAGCAACAAAUGCCCUGCUUCCAGGAAAAGCCUCUAAGCAUCAGGUAACAUCAAAUCGUACCCCAAACCGACACAGGUGGUCAGGUAGAGAAUACCAAGGCGCUUGAGAGAACUCGGGUGAAGGAACUAGGCAAAAUGGUGCCGUAACUUCGGGAGAAGGCACGCUGACACGUAGGUGAAGUGAUUUACUCAUGGAGCUGAAGUCAGUCGAAGAUACCAGCUGGCUGCAACUGUUUAUUAAAAACACAGCACUGUGCAAACACGAAAGUGGACGUAUACGGUGUGACGCCUGCCCGGUGCCGGAAGGUUAAUUGAUGGGGUCAGCGCAAGCGAAGCUCCUGAUCGAAGCCCCGGUAAACGGCGGCCGUAACUAUAACGGUCCUAAGGUAGCGAAAUUCCUUGUCGGGUAAGUUCCGACCUGCACGAAUGGCGUAAUGAUGGCCAGGCUGUCUCCACCCGAGACUCAGUGAAAUUGAACUCGCUGUGAAGAUGCAGUGUACCCGCGGCAAGACGGAAAGACCCCGUGAACCUUUACUAUAGCUUGACACUGAACAUUGAGCCUUGAUGUGUAGGAUAGGUGGGAGGCUUUGAAGCGUGGACGCCAGUCUGCGUGGAGCCGACCUUGAAAUACCACCCUUUAAUGUUUGAUGUUCUAACGUGGACCCGU